UGGUCGUUAGCUCAGUUGUAGAGCAGUUGACUUUUAAUCAAUUGGUCGCAGGUUCGAAUCCUGCACGACCCACCA
rnacentral:tRNA from 1 species